AUGAACGCUGGCGGCGUGCCUAAUACAUGCAAGUCGAGCGAACGGACGAGAAGCUUGCUUCUCUGAUGUUAGCGGCGGACGGGUGAGCAACACGUGGAUAACCUACCUAUAAGACUGGGAUAACUUCGGGAAACCGGAGCUAAUACCGGAUGAUAUUUUGAACCGCAUGGUUCAAAAGUGAAAGACGGUCUUGCUGUCACUUAUAGAUGGAUCCGCGCUGCAUUAGCUAGUUGGUAAGGUAACGGCUUACCAAGGCAACGAUGCAUAGCCGACCUGAGAGGGUGAUCGGCCACACUGGAACUGAGACACGGUCCAGACUCCUACGGGAGGCAGCAGUAGGGAAUCUUCCGCAAUGGGCGAAAGCCUGACGGAGCAACGCCGCGUGAGUGAUGAAGGUCUUCGGAUCGUAAAACUCUGUUAUUAGGGAAGAACAUAUGUGUAAGUAACUGUGCACAUCUUGACGGUACCUAAUCAGAAAGCCACGGCUAACUACGUG
rnacentral:rRNA from 1 species